rnacentral:lncRNA from 1 species
UUCAUUAAUUAGUGCUGCAUGACAGUCAAAAGAGGUAACAGACUUGUUCUGUUUAUAAUGAUCAGAUUCCAUCUUUGAUGACUUCCCUAGUUUAAGGGAAAUAUGAUAAAUGAUAGUCAUGAAAAACAGAUUUAUUGUGAUUAUAAGAAGAAAAGUUCGCGUAUGAAGUGUCCUGUAUGUCACAGGACCCAAACUAGAAAACGUACAUGUGUCAUCUCAUUUAAUUAACUCAUCUAACAAUGUAGGGGAUAUUUCUACUCCCAUUGUAGAGGCAAAGUAUCUGCAGCUAAGAGAGAUUAGAUAACCUCCUCUGGGUUGCACAUAAAAUUAGUGGACCAAAAUUUUAUUCCAGGAAGUCUGGAUCAAGGUCCUAUUUUCUAAAUCACAUGUCUAUACUGUACUUUGGGAGAGUUAUAGUUCAAAAAUAAUUGUCACAAAAGAAAUUAAUAAUAAUAAUAGCUUUCAUUUAUUGAGAUUCUACUGUGCACAAGGCCAUUCCUAAUCCUCACAAAGAAGAUAAUAACAGUAGCCACAUUUUUAGAAAGAAAGAAAAAAUAAGACACAUGAGAGUUAACUGUCACACCAAUAUGAAGUGUCAAGUCACAGAAUUAAGAUUGUUUGAGUUGAAAACCCAUGUCUUAACCACUAUAUAGAAUUAUUAGAAUGAAGGAAGUAUGGAAAUUAUCAAAGAAAAGACCUUAACUGUCUUCAAUUAUUUUGGAAGAGUCGUAUCAAAGAAUAAACUGGUUUAUGUCCAUAGGUUCAAAUAGAAGAAUUAGAAUCAGUGAGUAGGAAAUGAAAAGAGAGGGAGAGAGGUUUCUGCUAAGUUAGAGAAAGUCUGAAUGAUCACACACAUUUAAAAUGAAAAUGGGCUACCACUUGACUGAGUGAAUCGGUUCAUUGGAAAGAAUCAACAGAGGGUGGAGUUUGUCCACCUAAAGGUGAAAUCAAGAGGUGCCAACUACCUGAGGUGCCAGGUGGAUGUUCAUUGAACAUUGCUUUUGCCUCCUUCCCCAGAAGACACAUCAGCUACAUGGAAGACGGAAACCACACAGAAGUGUCAGAAUUCUUCCUCCUGGGUCCCCUAGAAGAUCCUGAAUUGCAGCCUCUGAUCUUUGAGCUAUUCCUGCCCAUGUACCUGAAAGGAUCUCUAUGACUCCAUGACAUUGUGGCCACCAAGUGAUCUAUAAAAUCUCCAGAGAUUCUUCAAGGUAAGAAUAUCACAGAAAGUUGGCUCCUGGAUUUGACU